rnacentral:rRNA from 1 species
UACGAAGGGGGCUAGCGUUGUUCGGAAUUACUGGGCGUAAAGCGCGCGCAGGCGGCUAUCCAAGUCAGUGGUGAAAGCCCGGAGCUCAACUCCGGAAUUGCCAUUGAAACUGUUUAGCUCGAGUACGAGAGAGGUGAGUGGAAUUCCCAGUGUAGAGGUGAAAUUCGUAGAUAUUGGGAAGAACACCGGUGGCGAAGGCGGCUCACUGGCGCGUAACUGACGCUCAAGCGCGACAGCGUGGGGAUCAAACAGG